rnacentral:rRNA from 1 species
GACGAACGCUGGCGGCGUGCCUAACACAUGCAAGUCGAGCGAGUGAAUCUCCUUCGGGAGUGAAGCUAGCGGCGGACGGGUGAGUAACACGUGGGCAACCUGCCUCAUAGAGGGGAAUAGCCUUCCGAAAGGAAGAUUAAUACCGCAUAAGAUUGUAGCUUCGCAUGAAGUAGCAAUUAAAGGAGCAAUCCGCUAUGAGAUGGGCCCGCGGCGCAUUAGCUAGUUGGUGAGGUAACGGCUCACCAAGGCGACGAUGCGUAGCCGACCUGAGAGGGUGAUCGGCCACAUUGGGACUGAGACACGGCCCAGACUCCUACGGGAGGCAGCAGUGGGGAAUAUUGCACAAUGGGGGAAACCCUGAUGCAGCAACGCCGCGUGAGUGAUGACGGCCUUCGGGUUGUAAAGCUCUGUCUUCAGGGACGA